UGAACGCUGGCGGCGUGCUUAACACAUGCAAGUCGAACGGUGAACACGGAGCUUGCUCUGUGGGAUCAGUGGCGAACGGGUGAGUAACACGUGAGCAACCUGCCCCUGACUCUGGGAUAAGCGCUGGAAACGGCGUCUAAUACUGGAUAUGUGACGUGACCGCAUGGUCUGCGUUUGGAAAGAUUUUUCGGUUGGGGAUGGGCUCGCGGCCUAUCAGCUUGUUGGUGAGGUAAUGGCUCACCAAGGCGUCGACGGGUAGCCGGCCUGAGAGGGUGACCGGCCACACUGGGAUUGAGACACGGCCCAGACUCCUACGGGAGGCAGCAGUGGGGAAUAUUGCACAAUGGGCGAAAGCCUGAUGCAGCAACGCCGCGUGAGGGAUGACGGCCUUCGGGUUGUAAACCUUUUUUAGCAGGGAAGAAGCGAAAGUGACGGUACCUGCAGAAAAAGCGCCGGCUAACUACGUG
rnacentral:rRNA from 1 species